UAAAGGGGCCGUAGCCGGGAUGGUGUGACCCCUGUGAAAUCCGUGGUAUUAAUACCACGGGCGGGCAGGGGUUACUACCAUCCUAGGGGAUGGGGGAAGCCGAGGGUAUUCCCGGGGGAGCGGCGAAAUGCUGUAAUCCCGGGAAGACCACCCGAGGCGAAGGCGCUCGGCUACCCCACUCCCGACGGUGAGGGCCGAAAGCUGGGGGAUCAAAAGGGAUUAGAGACCCCUGUAGUCCCAGCUGUCAACGCUGCGGGCUACCUGCUGGGUGGGCUUAGAGCCCACUCAGUGGGAAAGGGAAGCCGUUAAGCCCGCCGCCUGGGGAGUACGGCCGCAAGGCUGAAACUUAAAGGAAUAGGCGGGGGGGCACACAA
rnacentral:rRNA from 1 species